GACGAACGCUGGCGGCGUGCUUAACACAUGCAAGUCGAACGGAGAUUAGCGAGAAGUUUACUUUUUACUAAUCUUAGUGGCGGACGGGUGAGUAACGCGUGGAUAACCUGCCUAAUAGCCUGGGAUAACGCCGGGAAACCGGUGCUAAUACCAGAUACGCUCCUUAGAUUGCAUAAUUUGGGGAGGAAAGGGGAAACCCGCUAUAAGAUGGGUCCGCGUCCCAUUAGCUAGUUGGAGGGGUAACGGCCCACCAAGGCGACGAUGGGUAGCCGGCCUGAGAGGGCGACCGGCCACACUGGAACUGAGACACGGUCCAGACUCCUACGGGAGGCAGCAGUGGGGAAUCUUCCGCAAUGGGCGCAAGCCUGACGGAGCAACGCCGCGUGAGUGAAGAAAGUUUUCGGAUUGUAAAGCUCUGUCCGGGGGGAAGAAGAAAAUGACGGUACCCCUGGAGGAAGCCCCGGCUAACUACGUGCCAGCAGCCGCGGUAAAACGUAGGGGCGAGCGUUGUCCGGAAUUACUGGGCGUAAAGGGCGUGUAGGCGGUAAAGUAAGUCCGUAGUGAAACCCGGCAGCUCAACUGCCGGCUUGCUAUAGAAACUGCAUUACUUGAGUGCAGGAGAGGGGAGUGGAAUUCCCAGUGUAGCGGUGAAAUGCGUAGAUAUUGGGAGGAACACCAGUGGCGAAAGCGGCUCCCUGGCCUGUAACUGACGCUGAGGCGCGAAAGCGUGGGUAGCAAACGAGGAUUAGAUACCCUGGUAGUCCACGCCGUAAACGAUGGGUGCUAGGUGUUGUGGGUAUCGACCCCCUCGAGUGCCGGAGUUAACGCGAAUAAGCUACCCCGCCUGGGGAGUACGGCCGCAAAGGCUGA
rnacentral:rRNA from 1 species